GCUCUUGUGGCGCAAUGGAUAGCGCAUUAGACUUCUAAUCUAGAGGUUGCGGGUUCGAAUCCCGUCAAGAGUG
rnacentral:tRNA from 1 species